GACGAACCGUGCGAACGUUGUUCGGAAUCACUGGGCUUAAAGGGCGCGUAGGCGGCUUGCCAAGUCGGUGGUGAAAUCCUGCAGCUUAACUGUAGAAGUGCCUCCGAUACUGGCUAGCUCGAGGGAGGUAGGGGUCUGUGGAACUUCUGGUGGAGCGGUGAAAUGCGUUGAUAUCAGAAGGAACGCCGGUGGCGAAAGCGACGGACUGGAUCUCUUCUGACGCUGAGGCGCGAAAGCUAGGGGAGCAAACGGG
rnacentral:rRNA from 1 species